AAAUACCAAGGCGAUCGGGUGAACUGUGGUUAAGGAACUCGGCAAAUUGCCCCCGUAACUUCGGGAGAAGGGGGACCUCUGUUGGUGAUGGGCUUUACGCCUGGAGCUGGUGGGGGUCGCAGUGGCCAGGGGGAAGCGACUGUUUACUAAAAACACAGGUCCGUGCGAAGUCGUAAGACGAUGUAUACGGACUGACGCCUGCCCGGUGCCGGAACGUUAAGGGGACCGCUUAGCCGACGUGAGUUGGCGAAGGUGAGAACUUAAGCGCCGGUAAACGGCGGUGGUAACUAUAACCAUCCUAAGGUAGCGAAAUUCCUUGUCGGGUAAGUUCCGACCUGCACGAAUGGCGUAACGACUUCCCCGCUGUCUCAACCGCAGACCCGGCGAAAUUGCACUACGAGUAAAGAUGCUCGUUUCGCGCAGCAGGACGGAAAGACCCCGGGACCUUCACUACAGCUUGACAUUGGCGUUUGGAACGUCUUGUGUAGGAUAGGUGGGAGACUGGGAAGCUGUCACGCUAGUGAUGGUGGAGUCAUUGGUGAAAUACCACUCUGGUCGUUUUGAACGUCUAACUCUGGUCCGUGAUCCGGAUCGGGGACAGUGUCUGGUGGGUAGUUUAACUGGGGCGGUUGCCUCCUAAAGAGUAACGGAGGCGCCCAAAGGUUCCCUCAGCCUGGUUGGCAAUCAGGUGUAGAGUGUAGGUGCACAAGGGAGCUUGACUGUGAGACUGACAGGUCGAGCAGGAGCGAAAGCUGGGACUAGUGAUCCGGCAUCGGCGUGUGGAAGCGGUGUCGCUCAACGGCUAAAAGGUACCCCGGGGAUAACAGGCUGAUCUUCCCCAAGAGUCCAUAUCGACGGGAUGGUUUGGCACCUCGAUGUCGGCUCGUCGCAUCCUGGGGCUGGAGUAGGUCCCAAGGGUUGGGCUGUUCGCCCAUUAAAGCGGUACGCGAGCUGGGUUUAGAACGUCGCGAGACAGUUCGGUCCCUAUCCGCUGCGCGCGCAGGAGACUUGAAGGGGGCUGUCCCUAGUACGAGAGGACCGGGACGGACGAACCUCUGGUGUGCCAGUUGUACCGCCAGGUGCACGGCUGGUUGGCUACGUUCGGAAGGGAUAACCGCUGAAAGCAUCUAAGCGGGAAGCUCGCCUUGAGAUGAGGUCUCCCACCACGAGAGUGGGUAAGGCUCCCGGUAGACGACCGGGUUGAUAGGCCGGAGGUGGAAGCACGGUAACGUGUGGAGCUGACCGGUACUAAUAGGCCGAGGACUUGACCAC
rnacentral:rRNA from 1 species